UUGACCAAUAGAGAGGCUGCUUUUAUAUCCGAACGUUUCUAUGUUCAAAGUUACCUAUGCCAAGAACAAAAAAUCCGGUAAUACUAAAGUUGAAUGAAUUUUUUCCGAAUCCCCCUCCGCCAACAAAAGGAAACAGAAGUGUGGUUAUAAAUUUAAUCAUUUUGACAACUGUUUGUCAUAAACUGUCACGAAGUUCAUCACUGACUUGAACAGACGUUUCUGCCCCCAAAGAUAACUGAUUAAUGUACACAGAGACGUCAAGGUUUACUUUAAGGCAAGUAGCAUGGGACAGAAGUUAUUUCUACUGCCAUUCUAGUUAAAUUGUGUUUAACUGGGCUGUACAUGUCAUAAAAGAAGCUGUUUCAUUUCAUCGUAGGCAAAUAAUACAUUUAUUACUAUUCGACAUAGUGUAGAUACCGAAGAGCAGCUUUGUUGCUGAUACAUAAUCUAAGCAACGAAAAAAGAGACGAGACUCCACUUCUCUGGUGUAUUGAAAUCAUAGGUAUCUGCUGUGGUGUCAAUCAUGUGGGGGAGAUACUGAAAACGGAGACUUAUUCAAGAAUAAUAUUGAUGUUGCACAUGAUGUCUCUGACUCCCGCAGGUUGUUAUUGCUUACUUUCAUCUCGGAUUGUGAUGUAAACAGUCAAAAAUAUUCUGCUAAAAACAGUCAAAAGGAGUAAAAAUUCUGCCUUGACUUAAAACAAGUAAACUUGCGAGCAUUAAAAUCGGGCCACCUUCGGCAAGUUUGUAUAGCGUGUUUGGACUGGCCAGGACGUAGCUCGGAUAUGAAUCCUAUAGAACAUAUGUGGGAUGAACUUAAACGAAGAAUUAGAGAUAGGAUCCCGGCUCCUGGGUCACUCCAAGAGCUCAGAAUAGCCAUUGAAGAAGAAUGGGCUAAUAUCCCGCAAGAAGUUGUCGUCACUUCAAUUGAGUCUAUGAAUAAACGAAUGCGAGCGGUUAUUAGAGCUAGGGGUGGCAACACCGAACAUUAACAUCAUUUUCUUCUUUAAAUUGUUGAUUUUGGUAACAUGAAAAAUGUCGCCAUUGAAUAAUUUUCUUUUUGCGGCAGGUUUAUUAGAAACAGAUGCUGCUGCAUUUUCGACCGCCGGUGCCGGUCGCUAAAACCCGAGUUUAUUGAGUCUAUAAUAUUGCGAUGCCGCCAAAAGUCCAGCUCUUUGCAGCAAAAAAUUGGUAAAUAGCAAUGAACCAUCGAUCUUGGGAUUACCGCACAUUUUCGAAUUUUUUAUUUCAGAAUGUAAUUUGGGCAAUAUAAAAAAAUCUAAUAAAAAAAAAAUGUUCGUGUGACCGGACCGGGUCCCUUGAAGCAGCGGGCCCGUGUUCCGGCGAACACAUGGAACACCGGUAGUUACGCCACUGUUCUCUAUCACCUGCUACUGAGUCCCGGCGAUCCAGCGCGUCCCCACCUAUAAUCGUGACGCAGCCCGACAGAAAUCCGCUGUCUAAUAAUGACACAUUUUCUGUUUCUUAAUCAUU